AUUGAACGCUAGCGGUAGGCUUUACACAUGCAAGUCGAACGAGUGGCGGACGGGUGAGUAAUGUCUCGGAACCUGCCCGAUGGCGGGGGAUAACUACUGGAAACGGUAGCUAAUACCGCAUACCAUCGGAUGUGCCCAGAUGGGAUUAGCUAGUAGGUGGGGUAAGGGCUCACCUAGGCGACGAUCCCUAGCUGGUCUGAGAGGAUGACCAGCCACACUGGAACUGAGACACGGUCCAGAAUCCUACGGGAGGCAGCAGUGGGGAAUAUUGCACAAUGGGGGCAAGCCUGAUGCAGCCAUGCCGCGUGUAUGAAGAAGGCCUUCGGGUUGUAAAGUACUUUCAGCGAGGAGGCGUUACUCGCAGAAGAAGCACCGGCUAACUCCGUGCCAGCAGCCGCGGUAAUAC
rnacentral:rRNA from 1 species